UCGCGUUUGUUACCUCGGCAGGUACCUCGUAAUUAUUAUUAUUAAAAUAAUAAAAGAUUAACAUUAUUCUCUCGCGAUUUUGUGUGAAAAUAAUAACGUGUUAUCUCUUAAAUUUUCCCCGCAAUUUCUAUAAAGAAAAAAAUAAUUUUUAAAAUCCGGUUUUAAAUUUCUCGAAAGGGUAAAAAAUUUUCUGCAAAUGCUCCCACUUUGAAAAUUGUGUUUUUUUGAAAAAGUGCUUCGAAAAUAUAUUUUGAAAAGUUAUUUUGAUUUGAAUAGUGUGUUUAUUUCUCAAACAGAAUUUUUUUAAAUUUCUUAAAGAAAAAAACAGGAUUUGAAUCGAGUCAGCGAAUUGAAAACCACGUGGCAGUGAAUCACGCGUGAUCACUUGGGUUUAAAUUUCUGUCAAGCACGUGAUUCGGGCGAAGGAAAAUCAUCUUUCGGAUAAUAGAGACUUUUACUCUCCACCAUCAUUAUCAGUAUCAAUUUCUCUCCAGCAGCGGAAUCUUGGGUUUUCAUAACAAUUUUGAAUCGUAAGUGACAUAAGCAGUCUGCAGGACAUUAUGUUUCAAGCUGACACCUGAAAGGAGAACAAGAAAAAUCGAUCGACAAUAAUUGAAGUGA